CUGAGAUAUCUCUGAGAGUGGAAGGAAUUCUGCCUGGGGACAGCACCUUCAGCCUUUGCCUGAGAGCUGCAACCUGUCCUGGGUGAUGGCCUGCCCUUUGGAUUUAAGACUUGCUUAGCCAGUCCCACAAUCUUGCCGUGGAAGAACUUGCCGAUGGAGGGACCACAGAAGGAUCUAUGGGAGAACAACGGGAACUGCAGGAGAGGUA
rnacentral:lncRNA from 1 species